CACAUGGCUUUAUUUCAUGACUUCUCAUAGUGAGGUGUUGUCCAUUUAUAAGCGUUUUGCUGCCAUGGUUCAUACUCAGUUCUCUUCUCCCAUUCGUGUGUUUCGUGCUGAUUUCGCUAGCGAGUAUAUCUCUAGGAUGUUAGACCUUUCAGCCUGAGCAUUGAUAGUUGUGGAUGACACUAGGAGAGUUGGGACAAUUUUCGUUGGUUUAUUUCUCACACAAUGCCAUGCCAACCUGAGGGGUUGGGGAUACAUA
rnacentral:lncRNA from 1 species